GACUACUCGGGUAUCUAAGCCCGUUUGCUCCCCUGGCUUUCGUGCCUCAGCGUCAGAUGUCGCCCAGAGAUUCGCUUUCGCCACUGAUGUUCCUCUCGAUAUCUACGCAUUUCACUGCUACACCGAGAAUUCCAAUCUCCUCUGCGACCCUCUAGCGAGGAAGUAUUCAGGGCAGUUUCCAAGUUGAGCCUGGAGAUUUCACCCCGAACUUUCCUCACCGCCUACGCACCCUUUACGCCCAGUAAAUCCGAACAACGCUUGGGACCUCUGUAUUACCGCGGCUGCUGGCACAGAGUUAGCCGUCCCUUCCUCUUCCGCUACUAUCAAGUCACAGCCUGUUCAACUGUAACAAUUAUUCGCGAAUGACAGGGGUUUACGAGCCGAAGCCCUUCAUCCCCCACGCGGCGUCGCUCCAUCAGGGUUUCCCCCAUUGUGAAAAAUUCUCGACUGCAGCCCCCCGUAGG
rnacentral:rRNA from 1 species